rnacentral:rRNA from 1 species
CCUACGGGAGGCUGCAGUGGGGAAUAUUGGACAAUGGGCGAAAGCCUGAUCCAGCCAUGCCGCGUGUGUGAAGAAGGCCUUCGGGUUGUAAAGCACUUUCAGUGGGGAAGAAAGCCUUGGGGCUAAUACCCUCGAGGAAGGACAUCACCCACAGAAGAAGCACCGGCUAACUCCGUGCCAGCAGCCGCGGUAAUACGGAGGGUGCGAGCGUAAAUCGGAAUUACUGGGCGUAAAGCGCGCGUAGGCGGUCUGAUAAGCCGGUUGUGAAAGCCCCGGGCUCAACCUGGGAACGGCAUCCGGAACUGUCAGGCUAGAGUGCAGGAGAGGAAGGUAGAAUUCCCGGUGUAGCGGUGAAAUGCGUAGAGAUCGGGAGGAAUACCAGUGGCGAAGGCGGCCUUCUGGACUGACACUGACGCUGAGGUGCGAAAGCGUGGGUAGCAAACAGGAUUAGAUACCCGAGUAGUC